CACGUAGGGCGCGAGCGUUGUCCGGAAUUAUUGGGCGUAAAGGGCUCGUAGGCGGUUUGUCGCGUCGGGAGUGAAAACCUUGGGCUUAACUCAGGGCUUGCUUUCGAUACGGGCAGACUAGAGGUAUGCAGGGGAGAACGGAAUUCCUGGUGUAGCGGUGAAAUGCGCAGAUAUCAGGAGGAACACCGGUGGCGAAGGCGGUUCUCUGGGCAUGAUCUGACGCUGAGGAGCGAAAGUGUGGGGAGCGAACAGG
rnacentral:rRNA from 1 species